rnacentral:rRNA from 1 species
UACGUAGGGUGCAAGCGUUGUCCGGAAUUAUUGGGCGUAAAGAGCUCGUAGGCGGUUUGUCGCGUCUGCUGUGAAAACUCGGGGCUUAACCCCGGGCCUGCAGUGGGUACGGGCAGACUAGAGUGCGGUAGGGGAGACUGGAAUUCCUUGUGUAGCGGUGAAAUGCGCAGAUAUCAGGAGGAACACCGGUGGCGAAGGCGGGUCUCUGGGCCGUAACUGACGCUGAGGAGCGAAAGCGUGGGGAGCAAACAGG